AGAUAGGAUGGUGAUCUGGCUGCAACAUCUGUCACCCCAUUGAUCACCAGGGUGGAUUCAGCUAAUCUGGCUGGCUACGCAGUGUCCCCUUCCUCCAUCACCCGCUCCACGUGUGUCUCUCCUGACGCUGAGCAGGACCAGCCCCAGAGGAAGAGGACCGCUCCUCAGUCAAGGGGACAUGAGUAGCUGCAUUCCCCUGCUGGAACCUCCAAACAAGUUCUCUCAAGGUAAACUGUCUUAAAAAAUAAUAAUAAUAAUUCCCCAAAUCCUUCCCACAAAAACAAAGAAAUAACUCCAGGCCUAGGUUGCUUUGCUGGUUUUUUGGAGUUUUUGUUU
rnacentral:snRNA from 1 species